GGGUGAUAGGCUGGAGGCUCUGUGACGUUCCCAUCCCCAGGACCGCAGCAAGAACAGCGGAGGGACCAUGAGGCCGGUUCCUUAGCAACGCGGGAACGGAGGUCGAAGUCAGUCUUUCAGGGGGCCCAACACCUGUGUCGCAGGUCUGCCCGAGGAGAUCCGCAGUCCACAGGACAGCCUUUGGUGUCACAUAUCAGAACGAGGCUUGGUUUCGCCGUGACGAGAGCAACCAAUAGCAUUCCGGGCCAGGUGUGACGUUACGUGCUGGAGUACAGGAGGAUUCUUGCAUAUAAAUAUAUGGUCACGUGAUACUGGGAGGCGACCAAUCA